rnacentral:rRNA from 1 species
AACGAACGCUGGCGGCAUGCCUAACACAUGCAAGUCGAACGAUCCCUUCGGGGAUAGUGGCGCACGGGUGCGUAACGCGUGGGAACCUGCCCUUAGGUUCGGAAUAACUCAGAGAAAUUUGAGCUAAUACCGGAUAAUGUCUUCGGACCAAAGAUUUAUCGCCUUUGGAUGGGCCCGCGUUGGAUUAGCUAGUUGGUGGGGUAAAGGCCUACCAAGGCGACGAUCCAUAGCUGGUCUGAGAGGAUGAUCAGCCACACUGGGACUGAGACACGGCCCAGACUCCUACGGGAGGCAGCAGUGGGGAAUAUUGGACAAUGGGCGAAAGCCUGAUCCAGCAAUGCCGCGUGAGUGAUGAAGGCCUUAGGGUUGUAAAGCUCUUUUACCCGGGAUGAUAAUGACAGUAACGGGAGAAUAAGCCCCGGCUAACUCCGUG